ACUGGCGCUUGCGUCGGGGAUUAGUGGCGAACGGGUGAGUAACACGUGAGUAACCUGCCCUUAACUCUGGGAUAAGCCUUGGAAACGGGGUCUAAUACUGGAUAUUGACUUUACCUCGCAUGGGGUUUGGUUGAAAGAUUUAUUGGUUUUGGAUGGACUCGCGGCCUAUCAGCUUGUUGGUGAGGUAAUGGCUCACCAAGGCGACGACGGGUAGCCGGCCUGAGAGGGUGACCGGCCACACUGGGACUGAGACACGGCCCAGACUCCUACGGGAGGCAGCAGUGGGGAAUAUUGCACAAUGGGCGAAAGCCUGAUGCAGCGACGCCGCGUGAGGGAUGACGGCCUUCGGGUUGUAAACCUCUUUCAGUAGGGAACAAGGCCAGCAUUUUUGUUGGUUGAGGGUACUUGCAGAAGAAGCGCCGGCUAACUACGUGCCAGCAGCCGCGGUAAUACGUAGGGCGCAAGCGUUAUCCGGAAUUAUUGGGCGUAAAGAGCUCGUAGGCGGUUUGUCGCGUCUGCCGUGAAAGUCCGGGGCUCAACCCCGGAUCUGCGGUGGGUACGGGCAGACUAGAGUGAUGUAGGGGAGACUGGAAUUCCUGGUGUAGCGGUGAAAUGCGCAGAUAUCAGGAGGAACACCGAUGGCGAAGGCAGGUCUCUGGGCAUUAACUGACGCUGAGGAGCGAAAGCAUGGGGAGCGAACAGGAUUAGAUACCCUGGUAGUCCAUGCCGUAAACGUUGGGCACUAGGUGUGGGGGACAUUCCACGUUUUCCGCGCCGUAGCUAACGCAUUAAGUGCCCCGCCUGGGGAGUACGGCCGCAAGGCUAAAACUCAAAGGAAUUGACGGGGGCCCGCACAAGCGGCGGAGCAUGCGGAUUAAUUCGAUGCAACGCGAAGAACCUUACCAAGGCUUGACAUGAACCGGUAAUACCUGGAAACAGGUGCCCCGCUUGCGGUCGGUUUACAGGUGGUGCAUGGUUGUCGUCAGCUCGUGUCGUGAGAUGUUGGGUUAAGUCCCGCAACGAGCGCAACCCUCGUUCUAUGUUGCCAGCACGUAAUGGUGGGGACUCAUAGGAGACUGCCGGGGUCAACUCGGAGGAAGGUGAGGACGACGUCAAAUCAUCAUGCCCCUUAUGUCUUGGGCUUCACGCAUGCUACAAUGGCCGGUACAAUGGGUUGCGAUACUGUGAGGUGGAGCUAAUCCCAAAAAGCCGGUCUCAGUUCGGAUUGGGGUCUGCAACUCGACCCCAUGAAGUCGGAGUCGCUAGUAAUCGCAGAUCAGCAACGCUGCGGUGAAUACGUUCCCGGGCCUUGUACACACCGCCCGUCAAGUCACGAAAGUUGGUAACACCCGAAGCCGGUGGCCUAACCCCCUU
rnacentral:rRNA from 1 species